GGCUACCCGACGCCGACGCCGAAGCCGCCGGCCAAGGGGCCCAAGCCGGAGAAGCCCCCGACCAAGGGCCACGGCCACAAGCCGGAGAAGCCGCCCAAGGAGCACAAGCCGACUCCGCCCACCUACACCCCGAGCCCCAAGCCCACGCCGCCGCCGGCUACUCCCAAGCCGACGCCGCCCACCUACACGCCGAGCCCUAAGCCCAAGUCGCCGGUCUACCCUCCCCCGCCGAAAGCCAGUACUCCUCCGACCUACACCCCGAGCCCCAAGCCUCCGGCGACCAAGCCGCCUACCUACCCGACCCCCAAGCCACCAGCUACCAAGCCUCCGACACCUCCUGUGUACACUCCGAGCCCCAAACCACCGGUUACAAAGCCUCCUACACCCAAGCCGACCCCGCCGGUGUACACGCCGAACCCCAAGCCACCGGUUACCAAGCCUCCGACACACACGCCGAGCCCCAAGCCUCCGACAUCCAAGCCGACUCCGCCGGUGUACACACCGAGCCCCAAGCCACCGAAGCCGUCCCCGCCGACGUACACGCCGACCCCGAAGCCACCGGCUACCAAGCCGCCCACCUCAACUCCGACGCACCCUAAGCCGACGCCGCACACGCCUAUCCCCAAGCCCACGCCGCCAACCUACAAGCCGGCACCGAAGCCGACGCCGCCGGCGCCCACCCCGCCGACAUACACGCCGCCGGUGUCGCACACCCCCAGCUCGCCGCCGCCGCCGC
rnacentral:lncRNA from 1 species